rnacentral:rRNA from 1 species
AUUGAACGCUGGCGGCAGGCCUAACACAUGCAAGUCGAACGAGUGGCGGACGGGUGAGUAAUGUGUGGGAAACUGCCCGAUGGAGGGGGGUAACUACUGGAAAAGGUAGCUAAUACCGCAUACAAUCGGAGUUGCCCAGAUUGGGUUGGCUUGUAGGUGAGGUAACGGCGCACCUAGGAGACGAUCCCUAGCUGGGCUGAGAGGAUGCCCGGCCACACUGGAACUGAGACACGGUCCAGACUCCUACGGGAGGCAGCAGUGGGGAAUAUUGCACAAUGGGCGCAAGCCUGAUGCAGCCAUGCCGCGUGUAUGAAGAAGGCCUUCGGGUUGUAAAGUACUUUCAGCGGGGAGGCGUUACCCGCAGAAGAAGCACCGGCUAACUCCGUGCCAGCCGCCGCGGUAAUAC